GAUUGUGUAGUGUAGUGGUUAUCACUUCAGAUUUUGACGAGUUCUCUUCCCUUCCGAAUUGAGUGGAAAGCAGAGAAAUCACCCUCGACAAGCCUUCUGAUAACCCCGGUUCGAACCCGGGCACGACCU